rnacentral:rRNA from 1 species
UACGUAGGGUGCAAGCGUUAAUCGGAAUUACUGGGCGUAAAGCGUGCGCAGGCGGUUUUGUAAGACUGUCGUGAAAUCCCCGGGCUUAACCUGGGAAUGGCGAUGGUGACUGCAAGGCUAGAGUUUGGCAGAGGGGGGUAGAAUUCCACGUGUAGCAGUGAAAUGCGUAGAGAUGUGGAGGAACACCGAUGGCGAAGGCAGCCCCCUGGGUCAAGACUGACGUUCAUGCACGAAAGCGUGGGGAGCAAACAGG